rnacentral:tRNA from 1 species
GCCGGUGUGAUGGAAUAGGCAGACGUGAUGGAUUCAAAAUCCAUUGGUAGCAAUACCGUGCCGGUUCGAGUCCGGCCACCGGCACCA